rnacentral:rRNA from 1 species
UAGGGAAUCUUCGGCAAUGGGGGGAACCCUGACCGAGCAACGCCGCGUGAGUGAAGAAGGUUUUCGGAUCGUAAAACUCUGUUGUUAGAGAAGAACAGCGCAUAGAGUAACUGUUAUGCGUGUGACGGUAUCUAACCAGAAAGCCACGGCUAACUACGUGCCAGCAGCCGCGGUAAUACGUAGGUGGCAAGCGUUGUCCGGAUUUAUUGGGCGUAAAGCGAGCGCAGGCGGUCAAUUAAGUCUGAUGUGAAAGCCCCCGGCUCAACCGGGGAGGGUCAUUGGAAACUGGUUGACUUGAGUGCAGAAGAGGAGAGUGGAAGUCCGUGUGUAGCGGUGAAAUGCGUAGAUAUAUGGAGAAACACCAGUGGCGAAGGCGACUCUCUGGUCUGUAACUGACGCUGAGGCUCGAAAGCGUGGGUAGCAAACAGG